rnacentral:rRNA from 1 species
UACGAAGGGUGCAAGCGUUAAUCGGAAUUACUGGGCGUAAAGGGUGCGUAGGCGGUUCGUUAAGUCUGUCGUGAAAUCCCCGGGCUCAACCUGGGAAUGGCAAUGGAUACUGGCAGGCUAGAGUGUGUCAGAGGAUGGUGGAAUUCCCGGUGUAGCGGUGAAAUGCGUAGAGAUCGGGAGGAACAUCAGUGGCGAAGGCGGCCAUCUGGGACAACACUGACGCUGAGGCACGAAAGCGUGGGGAGCAAACAGG